rnacentral:rRNA from 1 species
GACGAACGCUGGCGGCGUGCCUAAUACAUGCAAGUCGAACGCAGUGGGGACGGGUGAGUAACACGUGGGUAACCUCCCAUCAGAGGGGAUAACACUUGGAAACAGGUGCUAAACCGAUACUGAUGGAUGGACCCGCGGUGCAUUAGCUAGUUGGUGAGGUAACGGCUCACCAAGGCCACGAUGCAUAGGCGACCGGAGAUGGUGAGUGGCCACACUGGUACUGAGACACGGCCCGGAAUCCUCCGGGGGGCAGCAGUAGGAAAUCUUAGGCAAUGGAAGAAAGUCUUACCGAGCAACGCCGCGUGAGUGAAGAAGGUUUUCGGAGCGUAAAACUCUGUUGUUAGAGAAGCGGUAUCUAACCAGAAAGCCACGGCUAACUACGUGCCAGCAGCCGCGGUAAUUC